AACACUGUUAACCUGCGGUACCUGCGAGGGAUCAUUAACAAGCCCGUGAAGAUCACAUUCCAAACGGAUGUGAUUUUUCACCCCGGCCACCCUUGUUUACCUUAACCCUGUUGCUUUGGUGGGCCUGCCAGAAAGGCCGCUGGGGAACUUUAUUUCCGGGCGAGUGCUCACCAAAGUCCCGUUGAACUCUUUCUGAAGUUAUGCAGUCUGAGCACGCGAAAACCAAUGUUAUAUAAAACU
rnacentral:misc_RNA from 1 species